rnacentral:rRNA from 1 species
GACGAACGCUGGCGGCGCGCCUAACACAUGCAAGUCGAACGAGCGAGAGAGAGCUUGCUUUCUCAAGCGAGUGGCGAACGGGUGAGUAACGCGUGAGGAACCUGCCUCAAAGAGGGGGACAACAGUUGGAAACGACUGCUAAUACCGCAUAAGCCCACGACCCGGCAUCGGGUUGAGGGAAAAGGAGCAAUCCGCUUUGAGAUGGCCUCGCGUCCGAUUAGCUGGUUGGUAGGGUAACGGCCUACCAAGGCAACGAUGGGUAGGGGAACUGAGAGGUUUAUCCCCCACAUUGGUACUGAGACACGGACCAA